AUUGAACGCUGGCGGCAUGCCUUACACAUGCAAGUCGAACGGUAACGGGCCUUCGGGUGCCGACGAGUGGCGAACGGGUGAGUAAUGUAUCGGAACGUACCUUUCAGUGGGGGAUAACGUAGCGAAAGUUACGCUAAUACCGCAUAUUCUGUGAGCAGGAAAGCAGGGGAUCGCAAGACCUUGCGCUGAUUGAGCGGCCGAUAUCAGAUUAGCUAGUUGGUGAGGUAAAGGCUCACCAAGGCGACGAUCUGUAGCGGGUCUGAGAGGGUGAUCCGCCACCCAGGUACUGCGACACGGUCCAGACUCCUACCGGCGGCAGCAGUGGGGAAUUGUGGAAAAAGGGGGCAACCCUGAUUCAGCCAUGCCGCGUGAGUGAAGAAGGCCUUCGGGUUGUAAAGCUCUUUCGGCCGGGAAGAAAUCGUAUCAGCUAAUACCUGCUGCGGAUGACGGUACCGGCAUAAGAAGCACCGGCUAACUACGUGCCAGCCGCCGCCGUAACAC
rnacentral:rRNA from 1 species